rnacentral:rRNA from 1 species
CCUACGGGAUGCAGCAGUAGGGAAUCUUCCACAAUGGGCGAAAGCCUGAUGGAGCAACGCCGCGUGGGUGAAGAAGGUCUUCGGAUCUUAAAACCCUGUUGUUAGAGAAGUAAGUGCGUGAGAGUAACUGUUCACGUUUCGACGGUAUCUAACCAGAAAGCCACGGCUAACUACGUGCCAGCAGCCGCGGUAAUACGUAGGUGGCAAGCGUUAUCCGGAUUUAUUUGGCGUAAAGGGAACGCAGGCGGUCUUUUAAGUCUGAUGUGAAAGCCUUCGGCUUAACCGGAGUAGUGCAUUGGAAACUGGGAGACUUGAGUGCAGAAGAGGAGAGUGGAACUCGAUGUGUAGCGGUGAAAUGCGUAGAUAUAAGGAAGAACACCAGUGGCGAAAGCGGCUCUCUGGUCUGAAACUGACGCUGAGGUUCGAAAGCGUGGGUAGCAAACAGGAUUAGAUACCCUGGUAGUC